GGAGACCAUUUAUUUGGGUUUGGGGUUUGUCCCCAGGUCAAGACUGGGAUUCCCAGAACAUGUGGUAGGGAGGCGCGGGAGGCUUUCCAGAGCUUCUACUUAGCCAAAAUAGUAACUCCCUUCUUACACCUUACCCAUCCCUAACCCGGAGCCUAAGUUACCUGAGGAGGCCCUCAGGACCCGAGGCAGUUGAAUUUAAUAAUAUAGUGCCAGACCGACCUGGCCCAGCCAGGCUCCGAUCAGAAGCAAGGCAUUUCCCCUCUUCUCUCUGCUCUGCUAGUAAUUUCGGUGAAAAGUAGAAAAGAGGCCUAAGGGAGAAAUGGACGGCGCUCGGCCCCCAAUUGCUGCUGAUUUUCCAGGCUUUUAGAGGGAGAUGAGAAUGGACCUAUCAUGUGAAGAAUUUCCUGCUUGACUUGGGUAUAGUCUGAAGAAUCAAUCCACUGAGAGGAGAGAAGCUGAAGCCAAUGGAGGGAGAGUGGGUAGAGAAUGUGCCAUCCAGUGUCUGGUCAUUGCAUACUUCAGGAUUGGACUCCUGGGUGCUUGCUUAAUAUGGGUCUGUCCCCAAGAGACUGCUCACCUCUGCGUGUUAUGACAAAAAUGAGUGCCUGGGUUUGUCAAGGAAAUGGCCAGACCCUCGAGGACAGGGGCCCUCAGUUUUCCCAGGUGACGUGUCUCUUUCGGUAUGCUCUCCACGCAGUGCUGUAACUUAAAUUCUUCCACUGAAGACCCUGAGAAGCUAUACAUAGAGAAACUUGGGCCUUGUUUCUAAUAUAAGGAAGUUUAUAGCUCUGAAUUAUAUUAAUUCUGUAUUACACCUAAUGUUAUUCUUGCUCAACAGUUAUUUUUUCUCUGGCCUCAGUUUUUGAGGUGUUAAUUCAUUAAUUUGUAAGCUGAUUGUUGCUUUGGUCUGCCAGGCACCAAGCUCCAGGCUUUCAACAAAGGCUCUUCAGACAACAUGAUAGCCAAGAUAAACUGACCUGCGGAGCCAAGUUUACAAAAGCUGAGAGAAGUCUCUCUGCUAUCUUGGCCUACUACUGUGGCAGAGUGCUGAAUAAUUAUUACAUAGCUGCCCUCUGUAGCACUUUCCCUCC